rnacentral:rRNA from 1 species
AUUGAACGCUAGCGGGAUGCCUUACACAUGCAAGUCGAACGGAGUGGCGAACGGGUGAGUAAUGUAUCGGAACGUGCCCAGUAGCGGGGGAUAACUACGCGAAAGCGUAGCUAAUACCGCAUACUAUUGGAGCGGCCGAUAUCGGAUUAGCUAGGUGGUGGGGUAACGGCUCACCAAGGCGACGAUCCGUAGCUGGGUUGAGAGGACGACCAGCCACCAUGGGACGUGGGAACGGCCCAGACUCCUACGGGGGGCCGGAAGGGGGGAAUUUUGGCAAAGGGGGAAACCCUGAUCCAGCCAUCCCGCGUGUGCGAUGAAGGCCUUCGGGUUGUAAAGCACUUUUGGCAGGAAAGCGGUACCUGCAGAAUAAGCACCGGCUAACUACGUGCCAGCAGCCGCGGUAAUUC